rnacentral:tRNA from 1 species
UCCCUGGUGGUUCAGUCAUUAGGACUCUGUGCUUUCACUGCAGGGGCACAGGUUCCAUCCCUGGUCAGGGGAA